CCUUGAAGAGAAUUUUAACAUAGAAGUGAGUUGGGCUUUUCUGAAUUCUCGCUGUGAUGUCUUGAUGGAGGUUACACAAGAAAAUUUUGAUUUACAAUCUGAACUGGCCAAAGUCAUGGAUACUAUCGAGAAAAGCCAACAACUUGCUGAUACUCCUUCUCCAGCCCUUGGAAGCGUUGGUACCCCUUCCCUAGCUCUUGAAGUUCAUGGAACAGAUGAGUUAUUGAACUCAGAAGCAAUUACUGAUUUGGGUGAAGCUUCUAUGGCAAAGUCUAUGGGAAUUGAAGUUCCCAUGGAUGAGUUAUUGAACUGAAAAUCAAUUACUGAUGUGGGUGAAGCUACGAUUCCAGUUUUGGAAGGUGAAGCUUCUACGGCAAAGUCUAUGGGAAUUGAAGUUCCCAUGACUACUACUAACCUUCCUGAAACUGUGGACUUAACUGAGUCAAUCCCUAUUGCUGCUUCUUCGGAAGUUGUUACCGUGCAAAUUGUUGCCUAUGAAUGUGAAAUUUCAACUUCUGAAGUUCCAACUCCCUCAGUGAACAAUUAAGUUCUUACUAUUUUCGUUCCUUUUUUUUAGUACUGUUGAUGAAGUCCCCAAUUACUAGAAUGGGGCAUUUGUGAACAUAUAUUUUUG
rnacentral:lncRNA from 1 species